rnacentral:misc_RNA from 1 species
AAAAAAUGUCAAGGUCGGCUGGAAAAGCGAUGUCUGAAAUCGCGAAAAAUUUAAGCAAGGUUCGUGAUAGGAUAGCUCAUGCCAUAAAAAAUCGACCUAUUUGUUAUGAUUCGGUAAAUGUCCGUUUAGUAGCUGUGGGGAAAACGAAGCCCUCAUCACAAAUACAAGACGCGUAUAACGCUGGUCAAAGAAAUUUUGGCGAAAAUUACGUUAACGAACUAGUGGAAAAGUCAAGGGACGAUGUCUUAAACGAAGCAUGUCCAGAUAUAAAAUGGCAUUUUAUUGGUCAUCUUCAGAGUAAUAAAGUUAACAAGAUUACAACAAUACCAAAUUUAUAUAUGAUUGAAACAAUCGACAGCGAAAAGUUAGCGAACGCAGUGAAUAAAUCAUGGCAGAGAGUAGAAGCGAAAGAUGCUCUAAACGUAAUGGUUCAGGUAAACACUAGCGGAGAAGAUCAAAAAUCAGGAAUUAAUCCGUCAGAGGCUCAUAAACUAGUAGAUCAUAUACGUCAAAACUGUCCAAGCUUAAUGUUUAAAGGACUAAUGACAAUUGGAGCAAUGAACUACGAUUUAACUUUAGGACCUAAUCCAGACUUUCAACAGUUAAUUCAAUGUAGGAAAAAUGUUGCUGAGAAGUUGGGAUUGAACGAACUCGAUAUAGAAUUAUCAAUGGGAAUGUCAAAUGAUUUUGAACACGCAAUAGAAAAUGGCAGCUCAAAUAUUAGAGUAGGCAGUACUAUUUUUGGUGCUCGACAAUAUAAUACAACAUAAAUAUACGAAAUAGAAUACAGAUUUCUUUUAUUCUUUCUGUCUGCUUUUCUUAUUUAAAACCACAAUUAAAAAUACAUUUAACAACGUUGAAAGUGAUAACAGUAAGCAAAAAUGAGACAAAAAGCAAGAAACCAAGUAUAUCUAACAUACGAUAGCUAAAUAUAGGUAGAGUUUGUCCAGAGCUUUUUAGAUGGCUCCCACCAAAUUUAACUAUGUUUUGUACUUCGUGAGUUAUUCUGUUCAAACAACUUAGCGGUUCGGAUCGGAUUAUAUUUUUAGCCUUUUCUGCAUAUUUCCUAUAGCCUUCGUUACUCAAUACUUCAAGAAUACAUUCACGUAGCUUUUGCUCUUGUAAAUCCAUCAAACUUAACUGGCGGCCGUAUUUACUGUUGUAAACUCGUUCGGCGUCCUCAAUAUAAAGCAUCGGUUUACCAUGGAAGAUUGCUUCUAUUUUACUAUUUGAAGAGCCAUCGGUAAUUAACAUAUUCACUCUAUCAUCUCCCAAGAUAUCGUUGAUAGGUAGUCGAGUCCAUAGUCGGACGUUAUCGGGCACAUGUAAUGUCUUCCUCUCAUCAACCCCUAAUUGAUAAUUCCAAAUGAAGAAACAGUCUAUUCCUUCGAAUGUUUUCAAUAAAAGUUUUGUUUGACUAAUUGAAAAUUUGCAGGAAUAAAAAUUAAUAAUCACAAUACUAUUCCCUUCUUGGGCUUUUAGCAAGUUAUUUAGCUCUACUGGAAGUAUUUUGGCGGAAUGAGCUGUGACGGAAUGUAUAUUCAGUACGUUAGGCCAAAUUGGCGAUGGAUUAUAUAAGAAAUAACUAUUUUGUACUAUAAAUAACUCUGAUACGGCUACUAGAUCCUCCCAAUGAUUUAUAUUAUCAUUCUGACGGUAUUUAAAGAGGAUGUUUUUGUGGAUAGGCUCCCGGAAAUAAGGAAGAAAUCUUGAGACGACAUAGUUCAAACGAUCCCAAAAGCUCAUAUGUUCAUCUAUUAAAGGAAAACCUCCAAAAGCUGGAUCAUCUAGACUAUCAGCAUAAGUUAUAUAGGGAAUAUUAAAUCGAUGGGCGAUGACAUGCAUAAAUCUGCACGAGGAAGGACCAUCGAUAAUAGCCAAAUCGAAUUUAUAAUCUUGUAUUUGGCGCAUCAAUCCUGAAUCGGAUAACAUUGCCAAAGUUUCGUUAAAGUAAAAUUGAAUGUUGGUUCUAUUAAAUUUAUAAAAUUCAUUCGUUUGACCUUCGACCCCUUCAUAAGUCCAAGGUUCUACAUAUUUUCUGAAGCUUUUUAGUGUAGUUUUCACAGGAUAAGUCGACUUCAAGACGCCAACAACCUAGUUAGUAUAUUUAUUUAAAAAAUAUACCAGUAUGUUAUAAAACUUGAUUCUUUAAAUAGACUGAAUAUGUAAAUCUACCAAAAGUUGCUUACGUCGUGGCCACUUUUUACGAGAGCGUCUCCUAUCGUCCAUAUGGGAACUGUUCUUUCUGGAACUUGUAUUGUAAGAAGAAGAAUUUUUGCCGUACUUACAAUAUGAACGAAGGAAAGAAUUAGGAGGGCACUGUUUAUUUUCAUCUUGAAGACCUUUAACCUUAGAAAUGUACUGCCAUCUGUCGACGAAACAAAAUAUCCAAGAGAAACGAAACACCUUUCACUUUCUUGAGAUUUUUUUUUAUGAUUCACCGUCUAUCACGUACAAUAUACAAACGUAUACGUUUAGAGAAUAGCUUCCUGUUUGUAUACUACUGUAAAAACUUGCGGGCACGAGGAAUAGAAAUUUUAUAAUAGUUUUACGAAAAGAAUUUUAUGAUAGUG